AUGGGAAGUCAUGGAAGAUUCUAGAUAGCCUUGUGCAAAGUAACCCGGUGCUGCAAGUGUGACUGCAUGAUCAGGCUGCAAGGCAAAGUGACUAAGUCCUCUUCUGCUCAUUUUGGAAUUGAGAGUUCAAGCCACUGUCUCUUCUUGACAAGGAGAUACAGUUAUGUUCCUAACAUAAGUGUCACUUCCAACCUACUGGGUUGCUUCUCAGCUCUUGAACUGUACAUGGAGAUUCCUAAUUCUUCAAGAGAAGAAAUUCUGGAUGCAUGUGUGUGCUCUGACUGUGUCUUCUGAACAAAGGCAAAGGGCCUCCCUAAAGCCUUGGUCUCCAUGUCCUGAGGAGCACUGGCUGAAAUGCAUUUGAACUCAUGGUAGGGCAUGUGUUUGUGCUCUCAGGAGGAAAUGAACUUUGCUUUGAAGUAAUGUUACUGGUGCCAAGUACAACAUCAACAGGGCAAUGUAAAAAGUCUCACUGAUAUCUCUUUCUAGUCCUGGAUGAUCAUCUGAGAAGGGGAUUCCUCUCUGCAGUCAAGAACCAUAUGAGCUAACAAAUAUCAUGUUAUGGAAGAACUUUGCUCACAGUCAUAGUUGACUUUCUGUUAUGAAACCUGAUUAUAUUAUUCAAUUUUCUUGGAGAAAGGCCUCAGUCUUACUGAAUUCUUUUUUUGACUUUUCUUACUCUCUGUUCAGAAAUUUUUGUUAUUGUAUGCAUUAAACAUCACAUGUUGCAAAAUAGGCAUGUAUAUUAAAUUAAAAAUAAAUAAAUCAAUAAAACAGGUAUGGUAGUGUAC
rnacentral:lncRNA from 1 species